AUAUCAGUAAGCGGAGGAAAAGAAAAUAACAAUGAUUACCUUAGUAGCGGCGAGUGAAUAGGUAAAAGCCCAAGAUGUUAAUCUGCUAUAAUGUAGUAGAAUUGUAAUCUAUAGAGUAGCUCAGAAAGUCAAGACUAAUCAUAAGUUCCUUGGAAUAGGACGCCAGAGAAGGUGAAAGCCCUGUCUUCGGAUUAGUUGAGGCAAUAUGAGAUAUUUCUAAGAGUCGGGUAGUUUGGGAAUGCUGCCCUAAGUUGAAGGUAAACCCCUUCUAAAGCUAAAUAUGACCAUGAGACCGAUAGCGCACAAGUA
rnacentral:rRNA from 1 species